CCUACGGGAGGCAGCAGUGAGGAAUAUUGGUCAAUGGACGAGAGUCUGAACCAGCCAAGUAGCGUGAAGGAUGACUGCCCUAUGGGUUGUAAACUUCUUUUAUAUGGGAAUAAAACGUUCCACGUGUGGGAUUUUGUAUGUACCAUAUGAAUAAGGAUCGGCUAACUCCGUGCCAGCAGCCGCGGUAAUACGGAGGAUCCGAGCGUUAUCCGGAUUUAUUGGGUUUAAAGGGAGCGUAGGUGGAUUGUUAAGUCAGUUGUGAAAGUUUGCGGCUCAACCGUAAAAUUGCAGUUGAAACUGGCAGUCUUGAGGACAGUAGAGGUGGGCGGAAUUCGUGGUGUAGCGGUGAAAUGCUUAGAUAUCACGAAGAACUCCGAUUGCGAAGGCAGUUCACUGGACUGCAACUGACACUGAGGCUCGAAAGUGUGGGUAUCAAACAGGAUUAGAUACCCGAGUGUC
rnacentral:rRNA from 1 species